UUGUAGCCGCGGUAAGAACGGAGUUUAUAUCUGCCUCACUGCUACGAGAUUUCGCUGUCAAAAAUUCUCUCUGUGUAUCGUGAGGGUGAGCGAGGAUGGGGAAGUGUUUUUCAGCAGCCGUGGACGCCUUGGAUGACGACAACCACAGUCACCACAGUCAUCACAGUCACCACGGUCAUGGUCACGGGCACGGGCGCCACAAGCUUGGGCUGGGCUGCUGCCUAGCGCUGUGCUGCGGCAUCUGUAUCGGCCACAAGAUGCGGUCAAGGGCAAGUUCUCACUCCAGCCACCACUCGCACAAGUCUCACCACUCGCACCGCUCUCACAAGAAACACAAGAAGCACAAGAAGCACGGGCAUGGGCAUGGCCACCGGAGGGGGUCCAACUCCAGCUAAACAGACAGAAGUUGGACUUUUAAGAGCUCUGGGACAACAGACGACGGACGUCUGCUCCUGAGAGGGUCAUGAGAGCAACAUUCUACUGCAGUAUACACAGUCACCCAUCUAUCUGUCUGUGGACCGUCUAUAUUCAGUCUGCCCGGCGAUUUCUAAGGUUACAUAGAACGAUACAAAAUUCAUUGGUAACAAACGUAACAUGCAACCCCCAAACUUCAAAGUUGAACUUGAACCAACUGAAAGUUUUGACACAACGCAACUAGGCCCUAUUAUUAUUACUAAACUCAUUUUGUUUACAGAACUAAAAAGUUGAUAUUAAAGUUGACAUUAAAUUUUUUUAUUGUAAAAUGUGAAAGACUAUGUGACAGAUUUUAUGGAUAUGUUCUAGAUCUAUUUUUGAUAAAGAUAUAUUUGCCAGAUAGAGUACAAUUUGUUUAAAAUCCCGGCAGUGCAGGCAUUCAAACCCACAUGGCUAUUGUAAAGACGCUGUGCAGUUUAUCUGGUCACUAUAAAGUAAUUUGUUUUGUUGUGUUUGUGUGUAUCCAUGACUAAAUGAGUUCCCCGGGUCAAUACAAUACUCCAAAGUGCACAAGGGUCAAUGUCUAAUAGGUCUGGAACAAAAUAGAAGACCUUGUAGAAGGGGAACAUACUGCGAUAUGUCGAAGAUCUUCUGACUCGUCAGGAAAUUCUUAUAGUCUGUAAUGAUUAAGCGGAGCCAACAGACAUCGUUUAGUCAUUUCUGUUAUGGUCCAGACCAUCACAUGUGAAAAUGUCCCUGUUCUAUUUGUGUACAUUUAGUGGUAAAUGUUGCUACCUUGGUUUUCAUUUGUUGAGUUGAUGGUUUGUUCACCAAGCUACUUUACCACUUAUGAUUCUGCACCUGAUCACCUCUACGUGUAAUAAAUCAGCUAAUAUAUCGGUGUUGUUACAAA